rnacentral:lncRNA from 1 species
AGGCCUUGCUAAGCAUGCGUGGUAUCAAGAGGUGCAUUGAGGCGCUCCUGCAGCCUCCUCCCGGCACGGGACUCCUCACAACCCCCAGCCUCAGCUUCCCUGACAGGGCAGGGGCUCACUCUUCUCCACUCCGGGCCAGGAACGCAGCCUGCUUGCCUUUUGUCCAAUUGGGUGCUCUUUCUUUGCGACUGAUACAAAGUGGGAACAAACUCCGCUUCCGGUGAUGCCCGGGCCCCAGGAGGCUGGGGGAGAAGUGCACGCUGCCCAGCCUUCAACCUGAACUGCCCCCAGCACUUCCGAGCCCCGACCCCUGCAGCUGUGAGGGCCCAGGGGCUGCUGGCUGCCAGGACCACCGCAUUGCAGAGGUCUCCCUUGCAGCAAGAGAUCUGGGAGUCCACAACGGCACUUAACCUGCCCUCUGCCCUGGCACCCCAGGGACUCACUGCCAAAGACGCUCACUUUCUGGGAGACACAGACCCCAUCCAGGAAGGGGCACGAGACCACGCUGCAGGAGGCCCCUUCCAAGACCGCCAAGCAUCUGUAGCAGCGCAGACCCUGAGCUGGGAGAGAGGGCAAGGAUUCUCUCGGCACCACGGGAACCACCUUCUCUACUCUCACUGAACACCCCUGGGAUGUAUCUGUAAAAAUUGGAACACCUUUCGGCUAGAAACCAGAGGAAGCCGCUCAUGACACCCGGGAGCUCACAGAGGCUCUGAAGUUUCUAUUCAAGAAAACAACUCCAGAUGGGGCUGAUCUGGAAGACAAGUAACAUCUUCCUUUUCUUGGUGCUCGCCUGCCGUGCUCUAGGUGCUUUUAGAGAUGCUGGUCUGUGUGCUAGGGAAGCGAUGAACCAUACUGUUAGUCUAUUAAACAUAACUCAACCUGG